CCUGCUAAUGUCAGUGUGCCACUGGA
rnacentral:piRNA from 1 species